rnacentral:rRNA from 1 species
GAGACCCACGCCCACAGUUGCCAGCGUUCCCUCCGGGGAGAUGGGUACACUGUGGGGACCGCCGCUGCUAAAGCGGAGGAAGGAAUGGGCAACGGUAGGUCAGCAUGCCCCGAAUUACCCGGGCUACACGCGGGCUACAAUGGACAGGACAAUGGGAAUCGACACCGAGAGGUGAAGGCAAUCCCCUAAACCUGCCCUUAGUUCGGAUUGUGGGCUGCAACUCGCCCACAUGAAGCUGGAAUCCGUAGUAAUCGCGGAUCAACAUUCCGCGGUGAAUAU